CUGGACUGUCUCCUGAGAGAGAGGAGACAGAGAUAGCUCAUGGCAGUUUAUAAAGAGGCUUACCCUGUGGACAUCCUGGAGGAUGACGUGGAGGGCUAUCAGGCAGCAGCGGAGGCUUACUAUGAGAUGCUCAGGGAAGGAGCCCAGACCUCAGCAGAGGUUAUCUCCCUUUCCACUGGGGAGCAGGUCAGACUUGAGACUUCAUCUCUUUGUUUUUGCACGAUAUACCGUGAUGAACCUCAACAUAAAAUACUGGGUUUGGUUAAUCCCCAAGACACAAAGGCAGUUGUGGCUGUUUACUUAAAGGAAUCCUGGUGGUCCAUCGAAGACAUCCUAAGAACUUCUGAUCCCACGCGGGAAGGGCUCAUGAAGGUUCAGUCAUUUGGGGAAAGGAUUGUUCUCUUUGUUCUCAACGUCAUUGUUUUUGGAAGACUGGAGAGAAGGCUGCACAUCGAUGACAUGUUUUUCUUACCUCACCCUGCGAAGGAGCAAGCUAAGAUUCUGUGGAAAGAUGGAGCCGCGGUUGCAUUUUACUCAGUCAAAAUGAAAGGGCAGCCUCUGUGGUGAUGGUACUGGCACAUGCUACCUGCUGCCUGUCUUCGACACCGUGUUUGUGAGGAGGAAGAACCGUUGCCAAGGCCUGGGGACAGCCAUGCUGAGGGACUUCUGUGACACCUUUCAAGGAGACGAAGCUCUGGGUAUCAGUUGUCCGAUAUCUCCUGCAAUGUACAGAGUCCUCAGGCAAUUUCUGUUGACCUGUCCAGGCGAGAGAGGGCGCUUGUGGGAGGUGGAGCCCCCAGGGGCCUGGGGCCAGCAGCGUGUUAACAUCUGGCUCAAGGUUUAUCUUCAGGAGCGGAGACUUCAAGAUGGGAGCACCGUGCACCCUAAAUGUUCUGAAGAGGACACGGACACUCCCGGGCAGGCUUCUCAGGAGGAUGGACCCACACAGUUUAAUCAUGGAGAAAGCCACAAGGAGUGGGCUGUUGGAGAACCAGAGAGGACACAGAAAGGCCGACACUGUGCGCAAGUGUGUGAGGAAGCGCGUUAGGUGUGAACUCGGCACCUAACUCCUCAGAGGGCCGUCUGGCUUCUCCAGGAUCUGAGCCUGAGGGUUUUAUACGACCCUGAAUAGUCUCUGGUCCUGAGGAUGGUGUUCGUUAUCUCUGGUACCCCUGGUAGACUCCGGAACAACAGGGUCUGAAGGAGUGCUUGGGUGAGCCAGAUACUCAAUGGGAGCCGCUUUUGCAGGCCAACUGUUGGCAGAUGUAGGACUUUAGAACGUCAUUCAUUAAAAUGACCAUUGCUUCCACUCCCCAGGAGGAUAGGAGGGAGAUGCGUGGGACCCUGUGAAUGAAUGAACACGCUUCCCCUUGGUGGAAAUGGGCUCAGAGAUGGACCAUGGUUCCCAUCCAUGAUGUACGUUCAGCCCUGUUGUAACCUCAGAGCUCCACAGAGGAGUUUUUCAGGGAGACAAGUUCCUUCUCUGGGGACUUGUCAGUCACUUCUGAGCUCCUUGAGGACACACACCAGGGCUGGAUAAUGUCAACCAUGCCAGGGCCUGAUGGUGGCCACUGUGGGCCUUGGACUGCAUUAGGCUCAGUGUACUGCUCAUGUUGCCUUCAAUGCCAUCGGGUCCAGAUGUCUGCAUGCGGGGGAGGAUUUCUACCUGAGAAAGUGGGCCCAACACUUUAUAUUCCCUGAAUGCUCAACAACAUAUGCUGUGGGGCCUUAUAUUUGUCAAAGCGUGCAGCUCUUUGCUGAUUUCUACAUACAUGCACACAUGCAUGUGUGCACACAUACAUCUCUCAUUUUCUCUCUCUCCUCUUUCCUUCACCUCUUCUCUUCCUCUCUCCCCUUUCCUCUACCCAUUUAUCUGUAUAUAUAUGUGUGUGUAUGUACACACACACACACACACACACACACACACACACACACACACACACGUUGUGAUUGUUUGUAUAUGCUAGGCCCAGGGAAUGGCACUUUUAGAAGGUGUGGCCCUGUUGGAGUAGGUGUGUCACUGUGGGUGUCUGGCUUUAAGACCCUCAUCCUAGCUGCCUGGAAGCGAGUAUUCUGGUAGCAGCCUUCAGAUGAAGAUGUAGAACUCUCAGCUCUGCCUGCAACCAUGCCUGCCUAGAUGCUGCCAUGCUCCCACCUUGAUGAUAAUGGACUGAACCUCUGAACCUGUAAGCCAGCCCCAAUUAAAUUUUUUUUUUAAUAAGACUUGCCUUAGUCAUGGUGUCUGCUCACAGCAGGAAAACCCUAACUAAGACACACACACAUAUAUCAUACAUAUACAUAUCUACACAACCAUACACAGAUGUACACUCACACAUACAUUCUAUUUCCUUUGAUUCACUGCCGUAUCCCCUACCAGCCUGUCCUCUCUUGUUCCUUCCUUUCUCCACCCAUCCAGCAUACUUUCUGUGGGACAAACUCUGUGUCGUGCUUGGGACAUUAAACUGAGGCUUGGUUUCAGCCUCAGGGAGCUGCUCUCUCUGGGUGGGCUGCCCUGAGUGUCCCCUGCAGUUUCUCUUCGUCUCACAUACAUUGCAAAGAGGGGGGGCCCAACUGUGAAGAAGCAGAACUUGCAGCUCCAUACAGGGACAUCACGAGGACCCCGUUUGCAUAUGGGGGUCUGUGAGGGAAGCCCGGACCACAGACAUGGACUGAACAUCUGAGGGGUGCUUUGUGUGGGACCCCACACAUUCUUUAGCAUGUAGUUCGUGUGUUGUGAGGAUUUCUUGUUUUCUGUUUAUAUGAAAAUUAACUCAUAAGUAUCUCUGAUUUAAUAACAUUAUUGCUCAAUAAAGACCUUCCAAAUGUUAAUAGCUUAA
ensembl:lincRNA